UGUAUCCAUUUCACUAAGAUUGUCAAAUUUGUUGGCAUAUAGUUGGGCAAAAUAAUUCCUAAUGGUUCUUCUUAGAUCUUAUAAAGUGUUGUGACACCUGUUCCUCAGGAUGGCUGCUGUCCUAAGGUGCCCUUCCAGGUGAGUUUGUUCUUUUUGCUCAUGCUUUUGCUCAGCUCUCCCUCACCAUUCCUCAAAGGUAAGCUCUACUCCAGCAGUGUUGAUUUUUUUUAAGUUUAUGGAAAAAAUUACUCUGGUGCCUUAGCCAGCAGUUUCAAUUUUGUCAUCCGCCUAAGCCAAGGUGCUUCUAGCAGUUUGAAAUUUCAUCUUCUUUUAUACCCACCUUCCACACAAAAGGCCUCUUCUGACUAGCAGUCUUAAUACCUUCUUCUUUGACUGUUCAAAGAGUUUGUUUUCCCCUUGGCAUUAUUAAGGUAUGGUGAGUCAGUCCUACUUGCACCUGUUUUCCCAUUGUGCCUAACCAGACUGCCUCACACUUAUGUCCCUCUAUAUUUGAGGGUUCAGAGUGGGCCCAUGCACUCAACCUGCCUUUAGUCUUCCAUCUUCCUCUGUGGCAGGUGGACUGAAUUAUGCAAAUUACUGCAGACUGCUUCUCCCAAAAUCAAGGAGAAAGGAACAGAACUAACAUUUCCUAAGAGUCCAUGUAGAGACUUUUGAGGUUUUGUGCCUCAAAGACAGAGGGGGUAGCCUUCCUGUGGGGGCAAAAAUGUGUGCCCUUUCUAUAGAAACUGGGAUAGGGGGUAAAACACUAGAUGUUUCUUUUUUUCUCCUAUAGGCAAGAGGAAGCCGCUGAAUGUUGUUAACUAGGACAGUGUCAUAGACAUGUCUUGGGAUGAUUGUUUUGGCAGUGGUGUCAAGGAUGAGCUGCCAAAGGAAGAGACGGAAGCCGUGUGACCAAUUGGAAGGCUAUGGCAAUAAUCCAGAGUCAUCGAAGUGUGGCAAUGCAAAAAUCAAGACAACUAGUGAUGGCCCCGGGGGACAGUGGAUGACUUUGUUGCCUUCUGUAUCUGACCCAGCUCUAAGCUCUACACAGUGCCUGCUUCAGCCACCUUCAUGACUAUUGGAAUAAAUCGUUCUCAUCUGCUCAUUCUGCCAGAGAAAGUCUUCACAUGCUUCACCAGUGGCAUGAGGCCUGUUGAUUCCCCUCAACUUGGUUUAGCCAGUCUGCCAAGAUGGUUUACCGGAUGUGGCUGCUGCACAUACUACAGCUUCUUGGAGCCACAGAUCUGUACAUGAAUAGAUGCAAAGGAGGCAUUUGGUGGAAUGGAGAGCUAUGAUCAGCAUAUUCAAGGAUUUAUUGGUGCAUGUUUAACAACAGAAAAAGAAAAAAGAAAUAAGAAAAAACAGCACCCUUGUAACAUAUGCCUUAGUCAAGUGAAACAAAUUUAGGCGAUCUUCACUUACCUGUUCGUGAAAGUCAGCGUUAUUCCACAAAACCUGGGUGUUGAUCCCAAGAGCAGUGUCAUAUCUCUUUUGCCCAGGGAAUACUGGCUCCUGCUAGCCUGUUUCUGGUGACAAACUGAAAGGCAUACUCUUCUUAACUGCUAUCUUUGCACUUGAAGGUUCUACUAUUUGAAAAUAGAAUGAAGGACCGUGAGCACUUCCAAUCAUCCUUUAAUGUGGGGGAAUGUCCAUUAUUACUGUCUUCUACAUCAGCUUGGGGUUCCUGAGCUACCUAAGGUUUGAAGUAGCUAUCCAUGCUAGCAUAACCCAAUUGUGGAUCUGGCCCAUUUCCAAGCGGUUAAGACCAUCUUCAUUCCUGACUCUAUAAUACAAGAUGUUAACUAUCACCCCCGGCUUCAUAUCAUCUGCCAAUUUUUUAAGCAAUCUUUCUUCUUGACUUGCUUUGAGAUUUGGACCAGCAAUUUGCACUCCCUGAAUACUUCCAACGGGAAAUGAUUUCUCGACUUGA